ensembl:lncRNA
GAGAGAUAGACUGUAUUGAAAUGCAACUUAUUUUAGAGUUCAUUGAACAUGGAGAGGGCUAUUGGCCCUCAGCCUUCACUCAUUAGGAGGAGGAGAUGCAUUCAGGCUGCAGGACAGGGGAAAGUGAGAAAGAGGACAAGUGAAAGAGACAGAGAUGGAGUGGAUGGGACAGGGUCAUGCCGUCUACAGAUCAUCAAGCUCUCUGCUGAGGCAACAGCUUUGUUCAAUCCAAAAACAAUUUGGCUAACUGGCCAAACUUGGCAAAUGGUGGAGAAGGGCUUUAAUAAUAGAGGUGAGGAACAUGAUGCUCACUCUGGCUAAGCUCCAGAGAUCAUGUGUGGAGAAACUUUCAGAUGGACAAGGACAACCAACACUGCAACUCCAGCAAUCUGAGCACUAUUGGCAGAUUGGCCAGAAGGAAGUUUCUACUCAAUGCAUGACACGAAAGCCUGCUUGAAAUUUGCACCAAAAAAGCAUCUAAACCGACUGAGACUGAGACUGAGAGAAACAAGAUUCUGAUCUGAUAAACCUCAAUUCCAAGCAUUAAGUCUGGAGCAUCUUCUGCACAAUACCAUCCUAACAGUGAAGCAUGGUGAUGGUAGCAUCAUGAUGUCGGGGGUGUUUUGAGGGUGUAGGUGAAUGCAACAAAAUACAGAGAUACCUUUAGUCAAAACGACAAAAAAUCUGGUCCAGAGCACUCAGACUGGGCAGAAGGUUUCCCUUCCAUUAGGACAAUCCUCCUAAGCAUACACCCAAGACAAUGCAAGAGUGGCUUGAAACCUCUGUAAGUGACCUUUAGCAGCAUGCCAGACCCAGACUUCAACCACCAUCUUUAACCAACUACUUGACAUAGCUUGAAAAGAUUUGCAGACAAGAACGGCAGGAAUCUCAGAAUACAGGAGUGCAACACUUGUCCAUAAUACCCUAAAAAACACUUGAGGCUGUAAUUGCUGCAAAGGGUACUGAGUUAAGGCUCUGAAUACUUAUGCAAUGUGGGAUUCACUUUUUUCUUUUUCAAAAAGGC